rnacentral:piRNA from 1 species
UGCUACAUGGAUGAUGUUUUUUCCAAGG